rnacentral:rRNA from 1 species
UACGGGAGGCAGCAGUGGGGAAUAUUGCACAAUGGGCGAAAGCCUGAUGCAGCGACGCCGCGUGAACGAAGAAGUAUUUCGGUAUGUAAAGUUCUAUCAGCAGGGAAGAAAAAUGACGGUACCUGACUAAGAAGCUCCGGCUAAAUACGUGCCAGCAGCCGCGGUAAU